rnacentral:rRNA from 1 species
UACGAAGGGGACUAGCGUUGUUCGGAAUUACUGGGCGUAAAGCGCACGUAGGCGGCUUGUUAAGUCAGGGGUGAAAUCCUGGAGCUCAACUCCAGAACUGCCUUUGAUACUGGCGAGCUUGAGUCCGGGAGAGGUGAGUGGAACUGCGAGUGUAGAGGUGAAAAUUCGUAGAUAUUCGCAAGAACACCAGUGGCGAAGGCGGCUCACUGGCCCGGUACUGACGCUGAGGUGC